CGGGCGUUAUGAAGGCAUUGAUGAAAGAGUUAAAACAGCUUUGCGCGCCGAAGAAAUUUCUAUUGGUCCGUUUGUUUUAACUGACGGCGAUGUUGCGGCUAUGGCAAUUAUUUCAGCGGUGGCGCGACUGAUUCCCGGAGUCAUUAGGCCAGAAUCGUUUAAGAGUUUGAUCCUAGCUCAGGAUGAACGCUGGCGGCGUGUUUAAGGCAUGCAAGUCGUACGUAGCCCGGUUUAGUGGCAAACGGGUGAGUAACACACUGGUAACCUACCUUUGAGACGAGGAUAGCUCUCCGAAAGGAGAAUUAAUACUCGAUGGAAAUGCGGGGACAUAAGUCAUUCGUAUUUAAAGUCGCAAGACGCUCAAAGAGGGGCCUAUGUCUGAUUAGCUAGUUGGUGAGGUAAUGGCCCACCAAGGCUUCGAUCAGUAGCAGGCGUGAGAGCGUGACCUGCCUCACUGGGACUGAGACACUGCCCAGACUCCUACGGGAGGCUGCAGUCAAGAAUCUUCCACAAUGGG
rnacentral:rRNA from 1 species